rnacentral:rRNA from 1 species
GACGAACGCUGGCGGCGUGCUUAACACAUGCAAGUGGAGCGACGAACCCGGGCUUGCCCGGGGGCAGAGCCGCGAACGGGUGAGUAACACGUGGGUAACCUGCCCCGAUGACUGGGACAACCCGAGGAAACUCGGGCUAAUACCGGAUGAACUCUUCUCACAUGAGUGAGAUUUGAAAAGGAAGCUUCGGCCUCCGCAUUGGGAUGGGCCCGCGGCCCAUUAGCUUGUUGGUGGGGUAACGGCCUACCAAGGCUUCGAUGGGUAGCUGGUCUGAGAGGACGAUCAGCCACACUGGGACUGAGACACGGCCCAGACUCCUACGGGAGGCAGCAGUGGGGAAUCUUGCGCAAUGCGCGAAAGCGUGACGCAGCAACGCCGCGUGCGGGAAGACGG